AUAUGCCAUGCUUUUUGCUAUGAAACCGCAGCCAUCUAGUCACUCGCCAGAGAAGGAUGAGAAACUGCACCCCAGCGAGAGGGACUGCCCCACAUCUGCAACCAAACCCGUCGGUCACCGAAUCCAGUAAUCUCCGUCUCUUUGUCCAUUCUGUAUGUAUGGUACUCCCAAUUCUUAUAUUUAAUCCGGUGUGUCUCCCACAAUCUUUGUGUCUGUCUGCUGUAUGUAUGUGGCACGCAAGUCUGCAUGCACUGUGUCUGUUAUGCCAGUUACUCUAACCAGUUUUUAUAUUUGUUUUUGUGUGUGUCACAACUCUGACAAGCAUGUUCUCCUAUGGGACACAAAGUACAUGAAGUGGAAUGAAGAAGCCCAUGUUUGAUGCUCGUCUCCAGGGUGGAGUAUUGAAUUUAUAAAUAAUGAAGUGGCAUCUGGCACGUGACAAGCUGCUCCUGUUUGCACAGCGACUUCAACAUUGUGUACUGUGAUCACGGCCUAGUUCAGAGAUCUGGUGUCCCAGUACGGGAUAGAGACCAUCGUACUAUUUAACAAGAGGAUAGUUGUGCAUCAUCUAUGACUGGCGGCUCAGCAGGAAUUCAACAGCUCCCAAGGGAAGGAGCAAACCACCUUGAGGAGUCCCUGCAUAAGAGACUAUUGGAUACAGAAGGCUGUACUAAAGGGAGAUCUCAUCACAGCAUCAUCCAGGUCGUAAUCAGGAGUAUAUGAGGCCUCUUAAGAGUAAAGAGCGGCUAACAAUAUCUGAUAAUAGGCCACAUGUGCAAUUAUUAUGUAUGUAA